rnacentral:rRNA from 1 species
CCUACGGGAGGCAGCAGUGGGGAAUAUUGCGCAAUGGGCGAAACCCUGAUGCAGCGACGCCGCGUGAGUGAAGAAGGCAUUCGGUAUGUAAAGCUCUUUUAAGAGGGAAGAAAAUGACGCUAUCUGACUUAGAUGCCCCAGCUCACUAUGCGUCAGCAGCCGCGGGCAUACGUAGGGGGGAAGCGCUAUCUGGAUGUUUUGGGGGUAAAGGGAGAGUAGACGGGAUGGCAAGUCUGGAGUGAAAGGGGGGGGCUCAACCCCCGGACUGCUCUUGAAACUGUACGGCUGGAGUGCAGGAGAGGUAAGGGGAAUUCCUAGGGUAGCGGUGAAAUGCGUAGAUAUUAGGAGGAACACCAGUGGCGAAGGCGGCUUACUGGACUGUAACUGACGUUGAGGCUCGAAAGCGUGGGGAGCAAACAGGAUUAGACACCCGGGUAGUC